AGGCCGGGCCCCGGCCUGAUGAGGGAACAAGCGGGGGAGCGGCUGACCGGAGGCCGUGUGGACGGGGACGCACGCUGGGUUCAGCGACCACUGGUUCCUUGAGCAGAACACCUCUCUCUACCUAAGAGCGUUCCUCCUGGAAGGCGAUGAGUUUCCAACGGCAGUGUCUUCAGACUCAUCUCAGCGGACCGCGCAGGUGGUGAUCAGAGGCCACAGAGACCCCGAAGAAUUUUAUGGCAUUCCAGACAGGACACAGGCCAGCUUGGAGGAGAAGCAGCAAUAAGACUUGGCAACACAGCGAGGGUGUGGAAGAGUUAUUUCCGAGGAGAGACAAUGGGCCUCAGCAGCAGCCUGGCGAGCCGCAGCCCACCAGAGCCCGACCAGCCUGGGAAGGAAGAGCCGCUCCCUCCCAGGGACGCCUGCAAGUCGGCGCAUCUGCUCUGUAUCAGCUCCCAGGAGCAUCGCCACACUCAAAGCCAGCUCUGGGCUCAUGGGU